rnacentral:rRNA from 1 species
CGCGGCCUAUCAGCUUGUUGGUGGGGUAAUGGCCUACCAAGGCGACGACGGGUAGCCGGCCUGAGAGGGUGUCCGGCCACACUGGGACUGAGAUACGGCCCAGACUCCUACGGGAGGCAGCAGUGGGGAAUAUUGCACAAUGGGCGCAAGCCUGAUGCAGCGACGCCGCGUGGGGGAUGACGGCCUUCGGAUUGUAAACCUCUUUCAGUAGGGACGAAGCGUAAGUGACGGUACCUACAGAAGAAGCACCGGCCAACUACGUGCCAGCAGCCGCGGUAAUACGUAGGGUGCGAGCGUUGUCCGGAAUUACUGGGCGUAAAGAGCUCGUAGGUGGUUUGUCGCGUUGUUCGUGAAAUCUCACAACUCAAUUGUGAGCGUGCGGGCGAUACGGGCAGACUGGAGUACUGCAGGGGAGACUGGAAUUCCUGGUGUAGCGGUGGAAUGCGCAGAUAUCAGGAGGAACACCGGUGGCGAAGGCGGGUCUCUGGGCAGUAACUGACGCUGAGGAGCGAAAGCGUGGGGAGCGAACAGGAUUAGAUACCCUGGUAGUCCACGCCGUAAACGGUGGGUACUAGGUGUGGGUUUCCUUCCUUGGGAUCCGUGCCGUAGCUAACGCAUUAAGUACCCCGCCUGGGGA